AAAGGUGGUCUACAGUUGGUUAAAAAUAAAAAUAAGUGUAUUCUGCUGAACACACAAUCCUCCCUAAAAUUAGGAAACCUGUAUUAUAAGGCUUCAUGGUUGUGAGGAGGCUUCUAAGCAUUUUCAAUUCUAUAACUUUGUAGGAAGAAAAAAAAUCAUUAGGGAACAGAUUCUCUGUAUGAGAGAUAAAGAGAGACUAAAAGCAGUUUGCCAAAGUUUCUUAGGAUUUUUCUCUCAGCGUCUCACCAAAAUGACACAUGUUGAUGAGAAACUUACCAUUUUAAUGUCAAAAUUCCCAGCGAGUUUCUCCAAGCUGACUUGAAUUUAGACCCUCAGGGAUACAUGUUCAGCACCGUAUCAAAAGACGUUAUGUAACUUCCAUUACUGGUAAUGAGAGGCAUGCAGCUAUAUCACCCUGUAUUGUGUGAAAAGCAUUUCUCUUUAUGUUAGCUUAAUGCAGUUUAAUGUAUAGUUGUGGGCUUUGAAUUGCAGGUGAUACUGAGAUGGUGAAGCAGAAGAGAACUAAAAGAGACAAUGAACUUGCAAAUCUGGUGCGGAGCCUUUAUAGAUUUUAUAUUUGAAAUCUUAAAAGUUCCAUUGAACCAGCAGUAUUUCUCUCUGGAUAGAAGGAUAAUUUUAAGAAAAUAUAAUAUGCAUCAUAAAACCAAGAAAAUGAAUAGAAAUGUAGCUGAACCCAGGACAGCAAGUUUCUUUGCUUCUGCUUGAGUGUGAAACUAUGACAACAGAAUGAAAAAAGAUGCAAGAUGCACUUAGAUGAGAUGCAAGGAUAAGUCUGACUAGGAAUCAAAAGUCAUUCAAAUGUUGCUCAAUGGCAGUAUACAAAUGAUUAUUUUUUUUUUUAAGAAACCCACACAAUUGCUUGAUCAAGUAUGAAGAGAAUAAAAGCAACGAAGGGAACUUGAGAUAUAUUUUCUAUGAUAUUUUAUUACAGAAAAGAAAUGAGGAUUUGUUAUGCAGCAUUUGAGAAGGGCCCCUUCCCUUCCUAGGUUUCACAGUCACUUUUCUGAUUCUCACCAUCAGGGGUGACACCUUGAAUAAAAUAUUGGGGGGAGGACGAGGACCAGGUAAGCUCUGCCCCACAUAAUCAAUCACAAGAUGCGGCACUCAGACACCUUUUGGAAGACAAUGUCCACCAAAAUUUGGGGCCCUCGGUCCCCUCAAAUAUUUUAGGGGGAGCUGAAGGGACCUCAGCCUCUAGGAGGUGGCUCCUAUGUUCACCAUAACCAUACGUGGAAAGACAGGUGAAUUAAUGCCAGUGUACUGGAAGAAGCAAAGAUCACCAGUGCUGAAGCAAUGAUUCUUCAACAUCAGCUUCGUUGGACUGGUCAUAUUGUGUGGAUGACUGAUUAUCGUCUUCCAAAGCAACUACUCUACUCGGAACUUAAAAAUGGAAAGCAUAAUGCUGGUGGUCAACAAAAAAGGUUCAAAGACUCUCUCAAUGUAAUCUAAAAAAAUGUAGUAUAAACACCGACAACUGGGAAACACUGGCCUGCGAGUGCUCCAAUUGGAGAACAACCUUUACCAAAGGUGUCAUGCGCUUUGAAGAAACUUGAACUCAGGACGAAAGGGAGAAACGUUCUAAGAGGAAGGCACACUUGGAAAACCCUCACCGUGAUCAACUCCCACCCAGAAACUUAUGUCCCCACUGUGGAAGGAUGUGUGGAUCCAGAAUUGGCCUCCACAGCAGUGGCGUAGCGUGGGGGGUGCAGGGGGGGCUGGCUGCACCGCGCGCAACAUCUGGGGGGGCGCUCGCACUCGCAGCUCUCUGCCCCUACUAAAAUCCACGGGUUAGGGGGCGCAAAUUACUUGCCUUGCCCCGGGUGCUGACAACCCACGCUACGCCACCGCUCCACAGUCACUUACGGACUCACUGUUAAAACUGUGUUCAUGGAUGCCAGUCUUACUCGGCUACGAGUGAUCACCAAAGAAGAAGAGGAAGAAGAAGAACGUGCGAGGGGAAGUCAUGUACCAGCUUCACCUCCAAAUCCCAUUGCCCUCCCUCCCAUAAGUUGGGAGAGUGACCAUCUGAAGGGUGAAACCUCCUAUACUCAAAGGGAGCCUCUGCCCUUGGGGAAGAUUAAUAGAAUGAUGGUGGGAAAGUAACGCUGGUGCAUUUGUUCCUCCACUCCUCUUUCACAAGCUUCCUCAUGUCUUUGAAAAGGGCUUAGGAAGAGGCUUCUAGGAUGCUGACCACUGACCCUCAUCUCCUUCCCAACUGCCAGGACAGCCAUUUUAAAAAGAAGCAUGGAACAGUAAAGAUCAGUGGCAUGUACCAGCAAAAGACAAACACAAGAAGGGUAAGAAUGUGCUUAUUUUUAGGUAGAAUUUUGGAAUUUUGUGAUUGAAGCACCCACUCUGAACCUAAAAAUCAAGCCAUACUUCAUAUUACUAUCCCCCACACACCCACACCCACACGCACACCCACACCCACACCCAAUCAUUUCUUCUUUUUUAAGUUCUAGAAACCAUAAAAAUGAUCUGGGGGCAGUUGCAAAAAGCCACCACCCAGAGGGUAUAUAGAAUAUAUAAGGUAAAGGCAAAGGGACCCCUGACUGUUAGGCCCAAUCGCAGACGACUCUGGGGUUGUGGCACUCAUCUUGCUUUACUGGCCGAGGGAGCCGGUGUAGAGCUUCCGGGUCAUGUGGCCAGCAUGACUAAGCCACUUCUGGCGAACCAGAACAGUGCACGGAAACGCCGUUUACCUUCCUGCCGGAGCGGUACCUAUUUAUCUACUUGCACUUUGACGUGCCUUUGAACUGCUAGGUUGGCAGGAGUGGGCCGAACUAUGGGAGCUCACCCCAUUGCGGGGAUUCAAACCGCCGACCUUCUGAUCGGCAAGCCCUAGGCUCUGUGGUUUAGACCACAGUGCCACCCGCGUCCCAUAUAUGGGAUAUAUACUACUGGCCAAAGGGCUGCAAGAUUCAAUGGAAGAGAGAGAUCACUUCAGAUAUGCUGACAGAGCACAGGGGGAUUUGAACCAGUGGCAAGCACAUGAUCUUUGUGUGGGAGUCGUCACCCUGUAGCAAGCACAGGGUGAUGUUGCUCAUCCGGCUUCCCGAUGCUGAGCAUUGCUGCCAGGAGUCAGAGGCAGGUGAGAGAGGUGAUGAGGAGCUAGGUGCAGUCUGGGUGCAGCAGCAAAGCCAAUUGAAGGCACCUGCUGCUGCAGCCACACCACAACAGACUCGGCACUGAGAUGCCAAGUGAGCAAUACUGCUCCAGCUGAGUUGGCUGAGCCACCUCAGGGCCACUUUUUGUGCAAUAGCUGCAUUGCAAGGCAGUUGCAAUAUGGUAUCUAAGGUUGGCAUGUUUAUUAUGACAUCACUCCUGUGCUGCACAACAGGCAGAAGUCUUGGAGCAUGUGACACAUUCUCCUUCUGUAUCUCUAUCUGGGGGUAAAAUAUAUAUUCGGGGGAAGUUGCCUGUUUUGUCUAUCGGGUGGCUAUUAAAAAAACAAAAACCCACACAACAACGACUUUUACAAGAUAGAUCUGGGAGGGUUCUUGUCCCUGUCUCUGUUCUUUAGUCAUUUAUUUUAAAUCUAAUUGCCUGUCAAGCAAUCUAAUUGCCGGAGCAGCAAUUAGAUAUUACAACUAAAUCCAUUUUUUUUUUAAAAAAUUAAGGCACUGAUCCUAAACAUAUCCAUAUAGAUGUACAUCUAAUUGAAAUCAGUUUAUCUACCAUAUGAGUAAAUACAUUUGCAAUCAGAAAUUAUGUGUGCAGAUUAUUAUAAUUUACUAUUUAUACUGUCUUGCUCUAUUUGGGACAGUUCCAUGUGCUUUAUAAUUGCAGUAGUUUUAUUUCUUUGUAUAAUUGUAUAUUUCAUUGCUAUAACCUGCCCUGGGACUUUAUGGUGAAGGGAUGGGUAAAGGAAUGUUAUAAAUUAGUGUACAAGCACAGUGAAGCUUCUGUUUUGGGAGGUUCAAGUAAAUUACGGCUUGCCCCAUUCAGUAUCUGGUUUGCCAUUUCUUUUGUCUCCUGCUUCUGGCUCUAUCCAUGCUUAUCCUAUCCAUAAAGAUUGUUCUUUUGAGUUUUUCAAGAACCAUUUCUGUUUAGCUGUAUCCUAGAUGUGUACAUGAAUAUUAUGUCUUACUAGUUACAGUUAUGUGUGUGUUCGUGCAUUUGUGUGCUAUGGCAAACUAUUCUAAUAAUUAUUCAGCUGAAAGAUUCUUGCCUCGGCCUAACAUCCUGAUCUUUCAAAAUAUGACAUGAAAUAAUUGUACAAAUAGAGUUGCUCAGAAGAUGUGUUCUUUUGCUUUCAUCUCGCAAAGGUCACUAGCUCAUCCAUCAAAAUAUUGGUUAUAAUUUCAAUCUCUCUGUUCUAUUUUCAUCUCUUUUGUCUCCCCUGCCAUAUUGUGUAGACACUAGCUAUAGGUUAAUACAAAUGAUGCUAACAGCUCUUCACUUCUAGUACUUCAUAACACCAGACACCUAUUCCUUCUAGGCAGCUGGCCAUAAGCAGUCUUUCUUAUGAACUGCUUCUUUCAUCCUCUUAGUGCUAUAAGGGCAUGAAUCUGUCAUGCGUUAUGUGUCAAUACAUCCCAUGGAUUUCAAUGGAUUCAUGCAUGAGUAACUGGGCAAAGGAUCAAUGAAUGCAGAAGUCCUUGUAUUCCUAGUAGGUUGCUGCUAUGUACUGAGUUGAAUAGGAUCCAAAAUGCAGCAGUCUGAUUGGUCCUAGAACAAUAGGAUCCAAAGUGCAGCAGUCUGAUUGGUCCUAGAACAAUGCAGCAGUAUGAUUGGUCCGCAGGAGCCACCAAAUCCAGCUCCAGGUGGAAGUGAAUCCGCAACCUGAUUGGCCUACAGGAGAAUCCCGGAAUUAGCCAAUCACGUGCGGCCCAUUGUGUAAAUAAUGUAUAUAGAGCAGAUAUUUUGGGAAAACUUUCAUUCCUCACUACUAUGAGCUGAAUAAAGAGCAUGAAAUCCACACUCGACUCCGAGUAUAUUUCAGUUGCAUAGAAAGGUAUGCAUGUUCUCCUUGUUUGGAAAACUGGCAUUUUAAAUUUAUCCAGUUUCAUUUUGGCCACAUCUUUUUAUUUCAACGUCCCAGGAACCUUAUGAGAGCACUCCAUUACCCAAACCAAGGGUGGGCAAUGUUUUGGCAUUUGAAAACCACUUUCUCUCAGGGAUAAUCUGUCAGAGGGUGCACACCAGUGGUGGGCAGGAAUAUGACUUUUCUUUCCUAAAUUAGACUGUUGAAAUGAAGAAAGCUAGUUUUGAGCAAAAGGACUGUGACCUCAAUUCAGUUCUGGUACUUAAAACAGAUUCGUACCAUGUGCUUGGAGGCACCCUGUUCUUUUCCCCAAGCUUUAAUUCUUUUGCGCCAGGCUCUGGUUAGUUGAUUGUGGGCUUCCAAUAAGAAGCAAAGUAGGUCUGGCCACUCUAAAGUCUGUGCACUCCUGUACAAGACUGACAGCAGUCUUCCUUGUGACAGAAUAGAGCCAGAGCCACAACAGGAACAGAUUCCUUUAGCACAUGAGUUGUUUGUGCUCCAGAAGGGUUUAUUUCCUUCUCUGACCCAGUUAAGCUUAUGGUUUUAAUGGGAUUACCACAAAAUGGGAGGGAAAUAACCUUCAAAUCUCUCAUUUUGCCAUUCUAAAUUUAAUUUGAUGGGUGUUAAAUCCAGGUUAUCCUUGCUCAAAAACACGCCUGGCAUCACUGGCUGCUAAAGUUAUAGCUGCUACUGAAACCUGGCCAACACAAGGCAAAUAUGGAAGUUCCUGCAUAAGCAAAACCACUAAUAAUUUCCAGAAGAACUAAAAGAGUUUCAUUAAGGCAAGCGCCAAAUUGAUGAACAAUAAAACAACAUGAUAAACAUACCCAUGUAAGAAGAUAUACCUGGCCAGAACUUAAGCAGGGGCCUUUCUCCAGGUUCUCCUGCCUAAUGAGAUCAGUCAGGUGGUUAUUAAGGAGAAGGACUUUUCAGAAAUGGUACCCCAGUUGUGGAAUAUCCUCACCAGAGAGUCUUGCUUGUGAUCCAUAUUAGGUCUUAUUUGAUGCUUCCAGGCAUUUAGAUAAUUGAGGUUUGGUGCAUUUCAGUUCCCUGACCAGUUUUGCCACUACCACCUUGUUUUCAUCUAUCUUGCGUCACUUCGCAAUGGUUUUGCUCUGAUUUGAUGUUGAUAUGCAGUUUCUGUAAGCAAUAGAUUGGUUUUGGUUUCGCUAUAUUUGUAUUUUAUCGAUUUUUACUUUUAAAAGGAUUGUAAAUUGCUCAGGGAACAUGGUUAAUUGGGCAGUAUAGAAAUGUUCAAAACAAACAAAAUAACCACAGCAUGACAAAUCAAUUAAAAGCUCCUUUACUCAAACACUAUUGACCCCGGAUGAUAAAUACAGAAAGAAGACCCAAUGAGGCAAACAAGCAAAUGAAGAGAAAUCACAUGCUUGGAGUAGCCAAUCAGCUUACAAGUUUAAAAAGUUCUGCAGCCCUGCAGCAGAAAGUAGAAUUUGUGUGGUUUCUUUUUCCAAAGCUGUCUAGGAGGAUUUGCUAAACUUUUGCUUGCCUCUUUCCACCUACAUGUGCUUUCUUUGACAAGGGUAAGAAUGUUCUCUUUUGGUUGGUGUGGAAAUGACGCUUUCUCUACUAAAGAUGUCUUCAAAAGCUUUCAUCACGCUUGCACCUUGCUCUGAUUAGUUUAGGCUGAGAAAUGUUCAACAGAAGGACGGCAAAGCCUGCUAUUUGUUGAUUACCCUCACUUUCUAAUAACAUUUCUCAACAAGCAGUGACUGCCUAUGUAUGCUGAAAGUCAAUAGCUUGCCGAAAGUUAAUGAGAAUUUGGUCUCCAUUUAAAAUGUCAGCCCCACUGGGGAUCCACUAUAAAAAGUGCACAUUGGGGUUAGCACAUCUGUUUGCUUCAGCUCCACUUACUAAAGCUUGUACAUAUGAAAUAUGUUCUGGGUAAAUAUUCCAGGAAACAGUUUGCCUAACAGUAAAAAAAGAAAAAAGAAGUAACUUUGGAAAAUAAUGCAAAGACCCCUGGAAGUGAAAAGUAGCAGAUGUUUAUUGUUGAUGCCAGUGUUGCUGGCUGCUGUCAAGAUGACACAUGAGUGUCUUGCUCCUUCUCCUUCAAAAUCAAAAUGUAUCAUUCUGGCAAUGCAUGCAUUUGCUCCUAGUCUUGUGACUCUGCCCUGAAAAAUCUCCAGUUGCAAAGAAGUAUUUGUUGCGACGUUUAGUUGAUUGAUCGGAUCGAAAUCCUUGUGGUUGGCUGAAAGGGUGCAAUAAUUAAUCAGAAAGUUUUUAAUAAAUAAUAUUUUUGGUACAAGUAUUUCAAUCUGGAGGUUACAGGCAGCCCCUGAAAUUGGUAGAUGAAAUUGGACCCCAAACCAACUUGGGAGUGCCUUGUUUAAAACCUUGGAUUGGACUUGGAAUCAAACAGGCAAUCAGUGCAGAUCCUUCAGGACCAACAUCACAGAAUCCCAAUAUAGCCAAAAACAGUUUGCUUUGGGAGAACUUUCGGGAUGCAUUUCAGGUGUCCCCAAAGGGCUGUUUUUCAUGCCUAAAGCAUUUGGUUCAGUCUAUCAAAGAUAGGUUUUCCGAAUAGAGGCUCUGUCCUUUCUCAUUUUGAGAUGGGUACUUAUUGUCAGGAGGUCCCGCACAUGAGUAGGAACCUGGCAGAGACACAUGCAUGACUGGCAUGUUCUCUCCCUCCUGGUCAGUCGUUCAGGAGCUUCAAAAUCUUUCUCCAGCCUGAACAUCACAGCGACUGAUACCAAGAGGCAUCAGCACACUUUAAGAUCAGCAGAGUGUGUGCAGUCAGCGUACAGACUCAGUAGCGCAGCAUUUUGGCUAAACUACUUUAUUUACAUAUAAUACACUCGGAGCAUUCUGACUCAGCUCUUUCCUCAUCAGCAUCAAACAGCAAAGAGAAAGGACAAAGGACAAAGAGUCCUACAUCAUGGAAAUGCAGUAAUACAAACAUCCUGUCCCCAUCACUUCCCACAAUGUGGAAUGAAAACAUACACCGUCAUGUGCUAAAACAAUCCCAAGACUGCAAGCACGGGAAAAGAACCCUAACUUGCUGCAAUAUAUAUCUCCCCUGAUAACGGGACAAAGAGAAGGUCCUGCUCGAACGAUUUUAAGGCACAAGUAGGCUUUAGGAAUGAAAAAAAGGCCUUUGGGGACACCUGAAAUACAUCUCGAAAGAUUCCCCAAAGCAAACUGCUUUUGUACACUUCAUUGAUGCUCAGUGCUAGUCAGCUGUAGUUUCAGUGCUCUUUUUUACCAUUGGUGUCAGGGGCUGUACUGAGGAGGAAUGGUGGGAGCCUCCCCCUCUCCCUGCUCCUGAUUUGGAUUCUGAAACUUCCCAGGAGCAGGAGGACAGUAUAGAUUUGGAACAGUGGUUUGCAGAGGGACAUAGUUCAGAAGGCAGAAGCUGGGAAAUACUGGAUGGGGAACAACUAGGAGAAGAAACACUGUGAGAGAGAGUGUGUUAACAGAUUCACUGUCUCUGGAAAGCAUUCCUCUGCUCGGCCCAAGGUCAAGAAGAGCUGAGAAGGUGGCAGAACAGAAAGCACUCAAAGCACAGAGGGUAUGAGCUCAGAUUAUAAGACAUAGGAGUGACAUGGAUUUAUAGGGACGCGGGUGGCGCUGUGCCUAGGACUUGCUGAUCAGAAGGUCAGUGGUUCAAAUCCCCGUGACGGGGUGAGCUCCUGUUGCUUGGUCCCUGCUCCUGCCAACCUAGCAGUUUGAAAGCACAUCAAAGUGCAAGUAGAUAAAUAGGUACCGCUCUGGCGGGAAGGUAAACCGUGUUUCCAUGCGCUGCUCUGGUUCACCCUGCUCCACUGAAUUGAAAUUUCAGCCUUCAAGACAAAGAAAAACGGCCAAGUAAAUAGCUAUUUUCGUGGAGGAGGGUCAAGAUAUUAACUGAUAUUCAUGAAAUUUCAGAUAUAGCUAUAUAAUCACUAGUGUGGUAAGAUAAGACCUUUGGAGCAGGCAUUUUUUUUAAAAAAAGUUUUGUUAUGAACCGCCCUAAUGCUCAAUGGACAUUGGAACUCCACCUUGCACUGAGAAGCUCAGCUUCCAUACAAUUUCUGAUGCCUGUCAGAUUAAUGUGGCAACAGCGGCCACACGUAGCCUCUGCGCUUUCUUUCCAAGCAAGAGUUCAUGAGAACCCCCUGCUUGUCACGAAGGCACUCAGGAUUGGGUAAAUGGAAACAUCCCUGAGAGGAAAUGAAACCAAUUCAGAGUGAGGUUGUUUCUAUUAAUAAAACAUUGCUUGGGUAGUUAACUACGAUGGCUAUUUUAAAAAUUCAGGUUCUUCCAGAAUGCUUCAACAAUACAAAUUAAAAUCAAGACUAUUUUAAGUAUAAGAAUUCUUGCUUUAAUUUCUAUAGAACUGGUGGCUUUUUCGUGAGAGAAAAAUGGAAAUGCAAUUAUAGAAACAUAACAAGCUAAUAUGAAAUGAAGAGUGAAAUUGACAUGAAAAAGAAGACAGGUAUGUCAAGGAGAUGCUGACAUUUACUUUUGCAUUGGAACAAAUCGACAUCAUCCCUAAAAAAACAGAACACGGACAAAGCGUAGCAGGUUAAUAAUAGAUACAUAACACAAGGUAAGAUCUUUCAUUACCUCACAUAAAAGAGUACAUAAAAUAUACAUAAUUGCAACAGUAAAAGGGGUUUUUGUUUGUUUGUUUCCAGUGGGCAGGAAUCUGUUUUCUUAAAACAUAACUGAAGAAUUAAUAUUAUGUAUACAAAGCAUAUGACAAAGCAUAUGACUCCAUAUUCAAUUUUCAUGGAACAAAGAUUAUAACGGAAUUAUAUACUACUGUUCCCUAAACUAGGCACACUAUAGAAGACCAUUUUUUGACCAAGUAAAAUUUGAAAUGCAUUUCAAUAUUAUGUUCAAACCAAUAUGUUAUUUCUCCAUCAGCUCUCAGAUAGAUAAGCAGGCAUCCUCCUUGCAACUGCAAGGCAGACCAAAUUUUCCUCUUGGCACCUCACUUUUUCCCUUUCUGAUCAGGCAGGGUUGAAGAAUAGGAGAUGCCAGUUUUGCCUGCUGGAUCUGGGCCAAAUUAGAAGUUUGUGGGGAUUAUAAUAAGCCUCCUCUUCCUGGAGAUGAACAUGAGGAGUCCUGAAUUUUUUCUCUGGCUUGGUUUAAAAGCCAAGCGAAAGAAUAAUUUCUGAUUUAGUCACAACACCCUGAGAGCUUCCCUCCACUCCACCUGCUGGG